GAUGAACGCUGGCGGCGUGCCUAAUACAUGCAAGUCGAGCGAACAGACGAGGAGCUUGCUCCUUUGACGUUAGCGGCGGACGGGUGAGUAACACGUGGAUAACCUACCUAUAAGACUGGGAUAACUUCGGGAAACCGGAGCUAAUACCGGAUAACAUGUUGAACCGCAUGGUUCAACAGUGAAAGACGGUCUUGCUGUCACUUAUAGAUGGAUCCGCGCCGCAUUAGCUAGUUGGUAAGGUAACGGCUUACCAAGGCAACGAUGCGUAGCCGACCUGAGAGGGUGAUCGGCCACACUGGAACUGAGACACGGUCCAGACUCCUACGGGAGGCAGCAGUAGGGAAUCUUCCGCAAAGGGCGAAAGCCUGACGGAGCAACGCCGCGUGAGUGAAGAAGGUCUUCGGAUCGUAAAACUCUGUUAUUAGGGAAGAACAAAUGUGUAAGUAACUAUGCACGUCUUGACGGUACCUAAUCAGAAAGCCACGGCUAACUACGUG
rnacentral:rRNA from 1 species